AGCAGCCCAGAGCCUGAAUCAGUGUGUGUGUUAGUGGAAGCGUCUGGAAAGGCGUGCGAUACAGGGUGACAGCCCCGUACACAAAAAUGCACAUAUUGUGAGCUUGAUGAGUAGGGCGGGACACGUGGUAUCCUGUCUGAAUAUGGGGGGACCAUCCUCCAAGGCUAAAUACUCCUGACUGACCGAUAGUGAACCAGUACCGUGAGGGAAAGGCGAAAAGAACCCCGGCGAGGGGAGUGAAAAAGAACCUGAAACCGUGUACGUACAAGCAGUGGGAGCACGCUUAGGCGUGUGACUGCGUACCUUUUGUAUAAUGGGUCAGCGACUUAUAUUCUGUAGCAAGGUUAACCGAAUAGGGGAGCCGAAGGGAAACCGAGUCUUAACUGGGCGUUAAGUUGCAGGGUAUAGACCCGAAACCCGGUGAUCUAGCCAUGGGCAGGUUGAAGGUUGGGUAACACUAACUGGAGGACCGAACCGACUAAUGUUGAAAAAUUAGCGGAUGACUUGUGGCUGGGGGUGAAAGGCCAAUCAAACCGGGAGAUAGCUGGUUCUCCCCGAAAGCUAUUUAGGUAGCGCCUCGUGAAUUCAUCUCCGGGGGUAGAGCACUGUUUCGGCAAGGGGGUCA
rnacentral:rRNA from 1 species